rnacentral:rRNA from 1 species
GUGCCAGCAGCCGCGGUAAUACGUAGGUGACGAGCGUUGUCCGGAAUUAUUGGGCGUAAAGGGAGCGCAGGCGGUUAGAAUAGUCUGAUGUGAAAGCCCACGGCUUAACCGUGGAAGGUCAUUGGAAACUGUCCAACUUGAAUGCAGAAGAGGAAAGUGGAAUUCCAUGUGUAGCGGUGAAAUGCGUAGAUAUAUGGAGGAACACCAGUGGCGAAGGCGACUUUCUGGUCUGUAAUUGACGCUGAGGCUCGAAAGCGUGGGUAGCGAACAGGAUUAGAUACCCUGGUAGUCC